GAUGAACGCUGGCGGCGUGCCUAAUACAUGCAAGUCGAGCGAACGGACGAGAAGCUUGCUUCUCUGAUGUUAGCGGCGGACGGGUGAGUAACACGUGGAUAACCUACCUAUAAGACUGGGAUAACUUCGGGAAACCGGAGCUAAUACCGGAUAAUAUUUUGAACCACAUGGUUCAAAAGUGAAAGACGGUCUUGCUGUCACUUAUAGAUGGAUCCGCGCUGCAUUAGCUAGUUGGUGAGGUAACGGCUUACCAAGGCAACGAUGCAUAGCCGACCUGAUAGGGAGAUCGGCCACACUGGAACUGAGACACGGUCCAGACUCCUACGGGAGGCAGCAGUAGGGAAUCUUCAGCAAUGGGCGAAAGCCUGACGGAGCAAAGCCGCGUGAGUGAUGAAGGUCUUCGGAUCGUAAAACUCUGUUAUUAGGGAAGAACAUAUGUGUAAGUAACUGUGCACAUCUUGACGGUACCUAAUCAGAAAGCCACGGCUAACUACGUG
rnacentral:rRNA from 1 species